GCAGGGGCCGCAGGGAGAACUCGGGCCUCCAGGACCCGCUGGGCUGCCGGGCGCCAAGGGACAAGACGGUGCACGCGGAGCCGCUGGAGACCCCGGCGCUCCUGGUCCCCUAGGGCCCCCCGGUCCCAGCGGCCCCCCAGGAAGUGUGG